rnacentral:lncRNA from 1 species
GCCUGGGAUAGAGUGACUUAGUGAUCAUAUCUACUAGUUGAUGCUGUUGUUGACUCACUGGCAAGUGUACCAGAUCGUGCAAGUAAUAUAAUCGGUAAAGCCCGAUAUCGUUCUUUCCAAGAGACUCGAAAGGAUCGUUCGUGUGAAUUAAUAUCGUAAGACUAGUAAAAAAAGAUUUAAUUGUUGUGAAUGCAAAGACAGAAAAUAAACAUGCAAUGUGUUUGAUUCAAUUGACGAAAAAGACUACGGAUGAAUGGAGUUGUUGGGGGUUUACAAUUUCAUCUUAUUCACUCCCUCUUAUCUACUCCUCUUAUUUAAUGUGCUUGAUUAUCUAAUUGUUAUGCAAACUUUCUUGGCCUACCCUUAACCCGAUCCCUCGACGAAAAGAGCCUAUUACUAAUUACCGGCUUGUUAUCCCUAGCCUCCCCUAGCAAUUAAUAAUGCAUUAAGAAUAGAAGCAAAAACAAUUGAUCGUCUUACCCCCUAUCCCUAGGUUGGUAUUGCUUAAUCAAGGAAUUUCUCACCAGUUCAUGACAGUACUGUACAUUCCCGUAUCAAUAGAGACAAACAACAGUUAUUGAAUGAGUUAAACGAUAAAAGCAUUAAGCGUAGAUGAGAACCCAACAAUUGAUAAUCAAAGCAUAUGAAGAAUCAUAUAAAUAAGCAAGAGUUUCAAUAAAAGAGAGUUUCAAAAGAUUACGUUGUU